UACAGAGGGGGCAAGCGCUAUUCGGAAUUAUUGGGCGUAAAGGGCGCGUAGGCGGCCUGGCAAGUGGAAGGUGAAAUCCCUCGGCUUAACCGAGGAACUGCCCUCCAAACUGCUUGGCUUGAGUCCGGGAGAGGUGAGUGGAAUUCCCAGUGUAGCGGUGAAAUGCGUAGAUAUCAGGAGGAACACCGGUGGCGAAGGCGGGUCUCUGGGCCGAUACUGACGCUGAGGAGCGAAAGCGUGGGGAGCGAACAGG
rnacentral:rRNA from 1 species